rnacentral:rRNA from 1 species
AGUGAACGCUGGCGGUAGGCCUAACACAUGCAAGUCGAACGGCAGCACAGUAAGAGCUUGCUCUUACGGGUGGCGAGUGGCGGACGGGUGAGGAAUACAUCGGAAUCUACUUUUUCGUGGGGGAUAACGUAGGGAAACUUACGCUAAUACCGCAUACGACCUACGGGUGAAAGCAGGGGAUCUUCGGACCUUGCGCGAUUGAAUGAGCCGAUGUCGGAUUAGCUAGUUGGCGGGGUAAAGGCCCACCAAGGCGACGAUCCGUAGCUGGUCUGAGAGGAUGAUCAGCCACACGGGAACUGAGACAGGGCCCAGACUCCUACGGGAGGCAGCAGUGGGGAAUAUUGGACAAUGGGCGCAAGCCUAAUCCAGCAAUACCGCGUGGGUGAAGAAGGCCUUCGGGUUGUAAAGCCCUUUUGUUGGGAAAGAAAAGCAGCAGGUUAAUACCCCGCUGUUCUGACGGUACCCAAAGAAUAAGCACCGGCUAACUUCGUG